UGCAAUGCAAGAACAACUACGAGCACACACAUCACACGCACUAAAGUGUUCCAACCCAAUAGAAUAGAACCAACCACACACGCAGGCACAUGAGCAGAACCCCAAAAUUUGUGGAAAUUUGGAAAUUCCAACCCACAAAAGCUGCUCAUAUAUUCUAAUCUCCUCCAGAGGCAGAGGCCAUGCCAGCGCCAGCACCUCUUCACCUUUUCUCCCCUUUCCUACCCAAGAUUCAUCCUCUCACCCCCACCCCAUUCUCUUGCAAACCACCAAAUCUUUCUACUACUACACGCCCUUUUUCUGUCCUGAUGUCGUCUUCACUAUCAAGGCAGUCUUCGAUUGCUUCUAUCGCCCCAUUGGAGGCAAUACUAUUUGAUAUAGAUGGAACAUUAGUGGAUUCGGAUCCUAUCCACUACUAUGCCUUCAGAGAAAUGCUUCAAGAGGUAGGGUUCAAUGGAGGAGUGCCAAUAAGUGAGGAAUUCUUCAUAAAGAAUAUAAGUGGCAUGCAUAAUGAGGAACUUUGUCAUGUUCUAUUCCCGGAUUGGGACCUGCAACAAGCCAGGAAAUUUUUGGACGACAAGGAAGUAAUGUUCCGAAGAUUGGCUGCAGAACAACUCAAACCCGUUGCUGGGCUUGACAAGUUGUGCAAAUGGGUUGAAGAUCAUGAUUUGAAACGAGCUGCAGUGACCAAUGCUCCACGACCAAAUGCUGAGAUGAUAAUCUCUCUACUGGGGCUUGAAAAAUUCUUUCAACUGGUCGUCAUUGGAAGUGAAUGUGAUCGAGCGAAACCUUUUCCAGACCCCUACUUGAAGGCACUGCAGGGACUUGGUGUAUCUUCAGGGAAUACAUUCGUAUUCGAGGACUCAGCCUCUGGAAUAAAAGCCGGGGUGGCAGCUGGGAUGCCAGUGGUGGGUUUAGCCACAAGGAACCCUGAGAAGUUACUGUUGGAUGCGGGCGCAACCAUGGUUAUCAAGGAUUACACUGAGUCAAACUUAUGGACUGCUUUGGAAGACAUAGUGAAGAAGACGGGGGCAACGAAAGUCACCACUUGAGCUCAAUGAACUGGUAAUGGCGUGUUGAUGUACUAAUUGACAUGCUCAAUUUGAAGCUCAAGUACUUUAGACAUUGAUAGGCCAUUCACACAGAAUCCAUUCUUUUUCAGUGAAGUAUCUUCAAUAAGUUGUACAAGCAGUAGCAACCUUAAUGGGAGAUCACCACAUUGAUGUAACACCAAGACAAGGAAUAGGCCACAAAUUCGUUCUAUACGCCAAUGCAAGUCUCAGAUUUACAGCAGGUACAAUGGAUAUCAGGAAUCAAAAACCUAAUAUCGAGCCAAAUAAUGCAAGAAUGAAUGUGGAUAGAAUACAAAACGUAAGUCGCUGCAUUCUGUUAUCAAUCAAUAUUCUGCUA